ensembl:lncRNA
AUGAGGAUAGAGACGGAGCAUGCUCUGUUGCAUAGCUUCUUAGGAAGGAAACACUAUGAACUGCCCUGUGGGAAUGCAGGCAGACGCUGUCGUCAGCGAAUGUUGGGAGGAUCCAUAAUGUUGGAUUGGAAUAGAACGAGAGUGGGGUGUUUGAUUUUGCUUUCAUUUGUUUGGUCUAAAAAUUCUAUCACUUUCUCUCAUGUUCAUAUUUCUCCCUGUAUUCAUAACAGAACAGUUUUGCAGACCAGAAAAGAGAUAUACACAGUUGGCCCUCCGUAUCUCUGGGUUCUGCAUCUGUGGAUUGAACCGACUGCAGAUCAAAACUAUUCAGAAAAAAAUUGUGAUAUGUAAUUGCAGCAGCCACCCCAACCUUGAGCAACCACCACCCUGAUUACUCAGCAGCCAUCAACAUUGAGACAAGACCUUCCACGAGUAAAAAAAAGACUACCACUCACUGAUAGCUCAAAUAUCAUUAGCAUUUUUAGCAAUAAAGUAUUUUUUAAUUGAGGUUUGUAGAGUUUCUUCGACUUAAUGCUGUUGCAGACUUAGACUUCAGCUUAGUGUAAACAUAACUGUUAUAUGCAUUGGAAAAAUUUUAAAAUUGUCUGACUUAUGUAAUUGUGGCAUUAGCUUGAUUGUAGUGUUCUGAAAUUGAACUUGCAAUAUCUCUGAGGUAUUCCUGUACCUUAAUAAUUAUUUUAAAUUAAUAAACAUUUAUCUCUUGUGCCCAUGGAUGUUGCUUAAGAACUAAACAAAAUCAGAGUUCAGUUAGCAAAGAAGAAGGGGUGACUUGGAACAUGGUUGGUAUGUAAGUACCCAACCGUAUUUGCCAGCAUCUCACUAGAUUAACUCGGUUAUGUAUUCAUUUCCUGACCAAUCACAAUGACCACUCCUAUUCACAUGCCUACUUGUGGAGCUGUGGAGAUGGUGCUUGUCAUGGUAGGUAGAGGAAUUAUGUCAGUUUCGCCCAAGUCACAUAAACUGAGAGCAGAGGAGAUUGGAUCUCUGUUAUUCUGUCUCCUCAGCUAACUCUCAUACCCAGAAAUACAGUUUUUGUUUUGUUAGAUCCUUGACCCAAUUUUUAGUUUUAAAAAAGGAGGGUCCUGUUCCUGUCAUUUAAUCUUACUAAAGAUUUUGGGUAGCUCAUAAACAUUUUAGAGUCCCCAUAGAACGUGAGUUAGGUGGUCAAGAAUAAAGGAAAAUAUGUGUUAAAUAGGAUCUCUCAUUACAGAAGACACAAGCUGCUCAACAAAACACUGUUAUUACGGCCACCUGCAUGAAAAUGGAAGUAUCUGUUAGAGUCACUUAUUUUAUUGAUACUUGGUGUUGUGAAAUUUCACCGUUAUUCAGCUUCUUUGCUUUGGUUUAUCUUUUGUGAAGUUUCCUUUUAAGAAUCCUCUAUAGGCUGGGUACGUUGGCUUAUACCUGUGUAUUAGUCCAUUCUUGAACAGCUACAAAGAAAUGCCUGAGGCUGGGUAAUUUAUAAAGAAAAGAAGUUUAAUUGGCUCCUGGUUCUGCAGGCUGUGCAGGAAGCAUAGAGGCUUCUGUUCACCUUCUGGGGAGGCCUCAAGAAACUGAAUCAUGGCAGAAGGUGAAGGGGAAGCAGGAACAUAUUGAAUGUCAUAAAUGGCUGGAGCAGUAGCAAGCAGGGCGCAGUGGGGUUGGGGGGAGGUGCUGCACACUUUUAUACAACCAGAUCUUGUAAGAACUCUUAGCAGAAGAAAAGCACCAAAGGGGUGGUGCUAAACCAUCCAUGAAGUAUCCACCCUCUGAUCAAAUCACCUCCCACCAUGCCCCACCUCCAACAUUGGGGAUUACAAUUGAGUGGGGACAUUUGAGUGGGGACACAGAUCCAAACCAUGUAACCUAUAAUCCCAGCACUUUGGGGGUCAAGGUGGGAGGAUUGCUUGAGGCCAGGAGUUCGAGGUCAGCCUAGGCAACAUAGCAACAUUUCAUCUUUACAAAAAUAAACAAAAAGAAAUGAAGAAAGAAAAUUAGGCAUGGUGGUGCAUGCCUCUAGUCCCAGCUGCAUGGGAGGAUCGCCUGAAUCUAGGAGGUUGAGACUACAGUGAGCCAUGAUUUUGCCACUGCACUCCAGUGUGGGUGACAGAGUGACACCGUGUUUCAAAAUAACAAAAGAAUCCUCUAUAUAGAUGCAGGUGACUUUAGGGCUUUAGUGAAGAGAUGAUACCUUGGUACUGGGCAGAGGCAUAAAUACCUGUGGAAUAAGUCUUAUAAACUCCAUUUUGAUUGGGUGGUUAAACAACAUUUCCAUCAUGACAUUCCCUUCAAAAUGCAUAACAGCUCUUGUUCUCUGCUGAUUCAAGACUUACUUUCAGGACUCUUAGUAAUCGGCUUCCCUUUUGCUUUCAGUCAUAAUGCUGCGCUCUCCCACAUAAGCUUCUCACUCCAUCAGGCAGGUCCCUUC